GAUGAACGCUGGCGGCGUGCCUAACACAUGCAAGUCGAGCGUGAUUGAUAUGAGUGGCGACUUCGGUCAAAGCGAGUAUCAUGAAAGCGGCGGACGGGUGAGUAACGCGUGGGCAACCUGCCCCAUACACGGGAAUAGCUACUGGAAACGGUGAUUAAUGCCCGAUAAGACCACAGUGCCACAUGGUACAGCGGCCAAAGAUUUAUCGGUAUGGGAUGGGCCCGCGUCUGAUUAGCUAGUUGGUGAGGUAACGGCUCACCAAGGCGACGAUCAGUAACCGACCUGAGAGGGCGGACGGUCACACUGGAACUGAGACACGGUCCAGACUCCUACGGGAGGCAGCAGUGGGGAAUAUUGCACAAUGGGCGCAAGCCUGAUGCAGCAACGCCGCGUGAGUGAAGAAGGCCUUCGGGUCGUAAAGCUCUGUCCUGUGGGACGAAACAAAUGACGGUACCACGGGAGGAAGCCCCGGCUAACUACGUGCCAGCAGCCGCCGCGGUAA
rnacentral:rRNA from 1 species